rnacentral:rRNA from 1 species
GUGACAUACCUAUUUGUUGCCUCGGCGGUGCCUGUUCCGACAGCCCGCCAGAGGACCCCAAACCCUGAUUACAUUUAAGAAGUCUUCUGAGUAAACCGAUUAAAUAAAUCAAAACUUUCAACAACGGAUCUCUUGGUUCUGGCAUCGAUGAAGAACGCAGCGAAAUGCGAUAAGUAAUGUGAAUUGCAGAAUUCAGUGAAUCAUCGAAUCUUUGAACGCACAUUGCGCCCGCUAGUAUUCUGGCGGGCAUGCCUGUCCGAGCGUCAUUUCAACCCUCAAGCCCCCGGGCUUGGUGUUGGGGAUCGGCGAGCCUCCGCGCCCGCCGUCCCCUAAAUCUAGUGGCGGUCUCGCUGUAGCUUCCUCUGCGUAGUAGCACACCUCGCACUGGGAAACAGCGCGGCCACGCCGUUAAACCCCCAACUUCUGAACGUUUGACCUCGGAUCAGGUAGGAAUACCCGCUGAACUUAAGCAUAUCAA